rnacentral:rRNA from 1 species
GAUGAACGCUGGCGGCGUGCCUAAUACAUGCAAGUCGAGCGAACGGACGAGAAGCUUGCUUCUCUGAUGUUAGCGGCGGACGGGUGAGUAACACGUGGAUAACCUACCUAUAAGACUGGGAUAACUUCGGGAAACCGUAGCUAAUACCGGAUAAUAUUUUGAACCGCAUGGUUGAAAAGUGAAAGAGGGUCUUGCUGUCCCUUAUAGAUGGAUCCGCGCUGCAUUGGCUAGUUGGUAAGGUAACGGCUUACCAAGGCAACGAUGCAUAGCCGACCUGAGAGGGUGAUCGGCCCCACUGGAACUGAGCCACGGUCCAGACUCCUACGGGAGGCAGCAGUAGGGAAUCUUCCGCAAUGGGCGAAAGCCUGACGGAGCAACGCCGCGUUGGUGAUGAAGGUCUUCGGAUCGUAAAACUCUGUUCUUAGGGAAGACCAUAUGUGUAAGUAACUGUGCACAUCUUGACGGUACCUAAUCAGAAAGCCACGGCUAACUACGUG